rnacentral:rRNA from 1 species
ACGCUCGACACCUACGGGAGGCAGCAGUCGGGAAUAUUGCGCAAUGGAGGAAACUCUGACGCAGUGACGCCGCGUAUAGGAAGAAGGUUUUCGGAUUGUAAACUAUUGUCGUUAGGGAAGAUACAAGACAGUACCUAAGGAGGAAGCACCGGCUAACUAUGUGGCAGCAGCCGCGGUAAUCUGAGCGGGCUGGCAAGGC